UGCGCGGAUCGCCUUGAGUUUGAUAUGGCUCAGAUUGAACGCUGGCGGCAUGCCUUACACAUGCAAGUCGAGCGGCAGCGCGGGGGCAACCCUGGCGGCGAGCGGCGUACGGGUGAGUAAUGCAUCGGAACGUGUCCUCUUGUGGGGGAUAACCAGCCGAAAGACUGGCUAAUACCGCAUGAGAUCGCAAGAUGAAAGCAGGGGACCCGCAAGGGCCUUGCGCGAGAGGAGCGGCCGAUGCCCGAUUAGCUAGUUGGCGGGGUAAAAGCCCACCAAGGCGACGAUCGGUAGCUGGUCUGAGAGGACGACCAGCCACACUGGGACUGAGACACGGCCCAGACUCCUACGGGAGGCAGCAGUGGGGAAUUUUGGACAAUGGGGGCAACCCUGAUCCAGCCAUGCCGCGUGUGUGAAGAAGGCCUUCGGGUUGUAAAGCACUUUCGGACGGAACGAAAUCGCACGAUCUAAUAAGUCGUGUGGAUGACGGUACCGUAAGAAGAAGCACCGGCUAACUACGUGCCAGCAGCCGCGGUAAUACGUAGGGUGCGAGCGUUAAUCGGAAUUACUGGGCGUAAAGUGUGCGCAGGCGGCCGCGCAAGUCGAGUGUGAAAGCCCCGGGCUUAACUUGGGAAUUGCGCUCGAAACUACGUGGCUGGAGUGUGGCAGAGGAAGGUGGAAUUCCACGUGUAGCGGUGAAAUGCGUAGAGAUGUGGAGGAACACCNAUGGCGAAGGCAGCCUUCUGGGCCNACACUGACGCUCAUGCACGAAA
rnacentral:rRNA from 1 species